UACGUAGGGUGCAAGCGUUAAUCGGAAUUACUGGGCGUAAAGCGUGCGCAGGCGGUUUUGCAAGACAGAUGUGAAAUCCCCGGGCUCAACCUGGGAACUGCAUUUGUGACUGCAAGGCUAGAAUCUGGCAGAGGGGGGUAGAAUUCCACGUGUAGCAGUGAAAUGCGUGGAUAUGUGGAGGAAUACCGAUGGCGAAGGCAGCCCCCUGGGCUAAGAUUGACGCUCAUGCACGAAAGCGUGGGGAGCAAACAGG
rnacentral:rRNA from 1 species